rnacentral:rRNA from 1 species
CCUACCUGGUUGAUCCUGCCAGUAGUCAUAUGCUUGUCUCAAAGAUUAAGCCAUGCAUGUCUCAGUCCAAGCCGUGUUUACAUGGCGAGACCGCGGACGGCUCAUUAAAUCAGUCGUGGUCCAUAUGGGCUAGAGUUUAUCUUACUUGGAUAACUGUGGUAAUUCCAGAGCUAAUACAUGCAACCUAUAUCCUGACGACGUGGGGGCGCUUGCGUCUCCGCACUGACGGAUGCUUUUAUUAGACCAAACCGCUGAGUGUGGCUCGCGCCACGUAUGACUCGUUUAAUGGUGACUCUGAAUAACCUUUCUGACAAGCGAACGUACCCCUCGUUGGGACGGCGCUGCCACUUUCGAGUGUCUGCCUUAUCAGCUAUCAACCGUUCGUUAUGUGCGACCGAUGGCUUUGACGGGUAACGGGGAAUCAGAGUUCGAUUCCGGAGAGGCAGCCUGAGAGACGGCUACCACGUCCAAGGACGGCAGCAGGCACGCAAAUUACCCAAUCCCAGCUCCUGGGGGAGGUAGUGACGAAAUCUAACGAUGCGGGCGCCCUUUCUGGGGCCCGCAAUCGGAAUGGCCACUUUCUAAACAACCUGUUGAGAACCUACUGAAGGGCAAGUCUGGUGCCAGCAGCCCGCGGUAAUUCCAGCUUCAGUAGCAUCUAUUAAAGUUGCUGCGGUUAAAAGGCUCGCAGUUGAAUGUCAGUAUCGAGCGCAGGUCAGGUGGACCGCUGGGGCGUGAGAAUUCACGGCGUUCGCGCGUGCGCUCGCGUGUGUGUUGGUGCUUCGGUGCCUCUCGCGCGUGUGGUGUGCGUGUGUGGCGUCUCUCACAAGCCCCCGUCCGUGACAAGCCUCCUCGCUUGUUUACAUAACGGAAUCUGUUAAACGGAGUGUGCUUGCAGUGGCUCUGCUUCCUUUUGCGUUAGCGCGUGUCUGUGCUUCGCGGUGCAGGCGUGUGCGCGUGAGACGGGAGUUGUGGUUAACCUCUCGCACGUUAAGCUCCAUCGGUUCUAUGGUCACCUUGAGUAAAUCAGAGUGCUCAAAGCAGUCGUAGGGGCCUUGUGCCCUGUGAACAGUCUUGACGGACUGACUUGGUUUUGCAUGGCAUGUCGGAAGACGACGUCUAGCGCUGGCUCAGAGAUAUGUAUCAGUGGUGUAAGCCAGCCUAGACGUACUGAUUAAAAGGGACAGUCGAGGGCAUUGGUAUUGCGAGGCGAGAGGUGAAAUUCUAUGACCCCCGCAAGACCUCCUGAAGCGAAAGCGUCUGCCAAGGAUGUUUUCAUUAAUCAUGAACGAAAGUUAGAGGAUCGAAGGCGAUCAGAUACCGCCCUAGUUCUAACCCUAAACGAUGCCAACCAUCAAUCCGCGCGUAGCACCCUUCUUAACGGGCUCGGCGGGCGGCUCCUCACUCACGGGAACCAGAGUCUCUGGGUUCCGGGGGGAGUCUGGUUGCAAAGCUGAAACUUAAAGGAAUUGACGGAAAGGCACCACCAGGCGUGAGCCUGCGGCUUAAUUUGACUCAACACGGGCCAUCUCACCAGGCCAGCACUCUUGUACGAUUGACAGAUUGAGAGCUCUUUCUCGAUUUAGUGGAUGGUGGUGCAUGGCCGUUCUUAGUUGGUGGAGUGAUCUGUCUGGUUAAUUCCGAUAACGAACGAGACUCUCCCCUGCUAACUAGUCGGUUGGAUCUUGAUAUUUGUAUCGGUUGAGUCGUGUACCGAGACCACCCGAUGUGUUGUGCGUGCUGUGUUUUCUUGUCGAGGUUGUGGUGGUGGUGGCGGUGGUUCUCUUAACGGGGUUCUGCUUAGCUGCUGUUGCUGCUCCUAGGCGGUGGCCACGCGUGUGAUCUUCGGGCCUCGGACCACACACUCCAAGUCCGCCGCUUAUGCUUAAAACUCUUCUUAGAGGGAUUCACGGUACUGAAGCCGUAAGAGACUGAGAGCAAUAACAGGUCUGUGAUGCCCUUAGAUGUUCUGGGCCGCACGCGCGCUACAAUGCCGGGCACAGCAGGUGUUUUUCCUACUCCGACAGGAGCGGGUAACCCUGUGAAAGCCCUUUCUUAUGGUUUCAAGUUGGUGUGGCUCACGCCACCCAACGGUUUGGCGUGAUUGGGCCUGGGUCUUGCAAUUCUUUCCCACAAACGAGGGAAUGCCUUUGUAGCGGCGGGUCACUGAGCCCGCCGUGACUCAGUCCCUGCCUUUUGUACACACCGCCCGUCGCUACUACCGAUUGGGUGUACCAGUGAGAGCCUUGGACUGGCGUCCGUUGCCCUAACUUUGUCUGGGCAAGCGGGUCCGACGGAAAGAGGUCCGAACUGGUGCACUUAGAGGAAGUAAAAGUCGUAACAAGGUUUCCGUAGGUGAACCUGCGGAAGGAUCAUUA